UAAUCAAUUUUGUGACCGUUGUUUGGGUUCUCAAUUGAUAAACCCAGAAGAGACUUCUCAAUCAAUCUUGUGACCGUUGUUUGGGUUCUCGUCUUCCUUCUCUAAAAGUCCGAGAGAGAGAGAGAGAGAGCCAUCUCCGAUCAGGUCCUAUGUUAUCAUCUCUCUGAAUCUUUCAAUUUUACCAAUCUCUCUCUCUCUCUCACUCUAUGAUUCUCAUAUAUGUUGCUUCUAUUCUAGGGCUCCAUCAUCGAAAUUGUUAGCUCAGGUUAUGUUAUCUUCUUCUCUCUCUCUCUCUCUCUCUCUCUCUCUUUCAAUUUCAUCUCUCUCACGCUCCGCCAUUGAUGAUUCUCAUAUAUGUUGGUACAACAAGAUCGACCGUUUGUAUGACUAAUGUUUUUGUGUCAUAGGUAAUCAAGGACGACGAUUCUCCUAAAGAACGAAGAUGAUUGUCGUAUCCUUCAAUUUAAAUUGUUUUGAGAUUUGAUUCUGAUUCGUUGGCUAUUCGGCUCUGUUUUGAUGAAAGGAUUUUCUUGUUUUGUUUCCAACGGGACUUUGAUGGCAUAUCGCACGAAGACACGCAUAGUAGUAGUCUCGUCUCUUCUAUGGUUUCUCACAGGUCAAAAUUUAAGGGGAGCACUACGUCUCAGGUCUCUGUCACUUGAGUACAUCAGAGAAUCGUUUUACCAGAACUGCAAUUAUGGACACAAUUUGGUCUUAAUCUCCAGCAAAGUUUACAUGCAUUUUCAGGAGAUGAGACUGCAGAUGCUAUUUUUUGUGUGGAAUAUACGCCUUGCAGGAUUCAAGUUAGGAACUACAAUGAAUCUGCUUCGUUCCUGUAAAAUGGCCAAGUCUCCAUCUCUUUAUAGAGGUCAAAAGUGAGGAUUCAAACAAAAUUGCAAAACCCAUAAUGAAGAAAGCUUGUUUCAUGCCAGGAUUAUAGGAAACCUUUGCAAGUUUCAAACUCCGCUCUUAAGUUAUGUUGAUCUCUCAAAUUACUUUGUUGAUCUCAAAAAUUGGAGUAUAGAGAGUACCGGUGAUGAUGAGACUACAAAUGGAAACUUUGAUUUAUUAAGUGGUGGUGCCUAAUUGCUUCUUAUAAGAAGUGCUGCCUUGUGAGAGGUUAAACGAUUUUUGAGGUUGCAUAGAUGAAUCAGAGAAGAGUGGAAGAACUUUUCUGUUGAACAAAAGAAAAGGAGAUAUAUACGGAAGGCAAUGAAAUGCUGAGGGUAGAAGAAGCCAUGAGCGAGACGAAGAGAACAAAGAAGAGACGAGAUAGGCAAAGAUAUGUCUUGGUGCCUUAUCAGAAACUUGAUGCUUCUAGUAUGUAUAUCACUCCUUCUCAUGAAAAGCCUUUCUCUUGGGACAGAGAGAGAGAUUGAAAACCGUUCAGAGUCAUGAAUCUAACUAGCAGUCGAAGUAGUGGAGUCAGAACAGUUGAGAGAAGCUUGUUACUGAUCAAAAAUUAAGAAUGAAAGGUUGUUGCAGGGUGGUGUAAUGGGAGAAGGAUGCCAACAACUUCUAGUUUCCUUGCAUACAUGUUUAAUUUCUUUCUUAAUUCCUUAAUGACCUUCUUACUUCCUUACAUACAUGUUUAAUUUCUCUCCUUAUUUACUGAGUUUUUUAUUCUUUCCUCCUUACUUUCUAUCCUUAACUUGCUUGCUAGAAUCAAAUUACAUGCAGACCGAUCGACCUCAGCUGAAGAACGGUAUUUUAUAGAAACAGAGGAUUUAGAUCUUUAGUCUUUUGUUAUCUCUGUCUAUUUCUAUCAUUAAGUUCGUGUAUCGACUAGUAUGAUUUUGGCUAUUAUUGUUCUUCAGAGAGAAAAUUAUUUGAGGGUUGUGAGCAUAUUUCUGGUUACGAACUGCAGAGUUCUCAUGCUCCAUGAUUCGUUGUUUAACUUUUUGGGAGUAUAUUCACUGAGGUAAACUCAAAGAUCCAUGAGUUGAAGUUAAAACUUGAGAAACAAAAGUUGGCUAUGUUGCUUGGAUGGAUUUCUGAUCUCCCAUGCUUAGUAGUCAGUAACCAUGCGUGCCAAUUCGGUAUUUUAUAGAAUAUCUAUGGUUCCCGCUUUUGGAACAAUUUUCACCGUCCAGGACAAAAAGUGGAGCAUAGAGAUUAUUGGUGAUGAGACUUACAAAGGGAAACUUCGAUUUAUUAAGUACUUCUUAUAAGAGUCUUCCGAGAGGUUAAACAAAUGAGGUAAGUAAUGUAAACUCUUAUAGCUAAUAUGUGUGGAUAAAUUGUUAGUACAGGCUGCAGAGAUAAAUUAGAGAAGAGUGAAAGAACUUUCCUGCUGAACAAAAGAAAAGGCAAUGAAAGGCUGAAGGUAGAAGAAGCCAUGAGCGAGACGAAGAAGCUCUCUAGAUUCUCUCAAUAAAGAGAAAAUCGAAAAUGUCACCAAGGGAGAGAGAUUGACAAUCGUUCAGAGACAUGAAUCUAACUAGCAGUCGAAGUUGUGGAGUCAAAACAGCCAAGAGAAGCUUGGUAACAUUAAGAAUGAAAGGUUGAUGCAGGGUGAGUGUAAUGGGAGAAGGAUGCCAACAACUUGCUUCAAGAUAAGCUUAAGGGACACUUAAAUCGCGGAUUCUGCUCCAGAAAAGUGUGUGAGAAUAUCUUGAAGGGUGAAGCUUCCAAGUUUGAAUAUCACAAUCCAUGAAAGAAAAAGUUUAGAAGACACUAUUUCCAAGUAAGGAGGACAAGGAGAGACUCUAUAUGCGACAUGAACAACUAAGUAAGGAGGAGACAAUGAUAGCAUGAGAGGUUCUACACAGAAGAGCUUGCUCAAUUAGAAGAAUCUCUGGAAAAAGAAAGGCAUGCAAGUAAUAGCAUGAUUAAUGGAAAUUAAUGUUUCUCUUUUCUGAAGAACGAAGCCUCUGAUGAAUUGAAGAUUAAUGUAUCUUCAUAUGACACUAAAAGCUUAAAGCACUGCAAUCCGUAGCUAAGAAAUAUGAAGUUUUGGAUAAAAGCAAUAAACAAAUUGUGGAACAUCAUAGCUUUUUUCAUGGGAUUGAGACUUUGCGUUUACUUGCAACCAGAUUCAGGAUUACCUCAUAGCACAAGAUUCAGUUUUCUGCCCAAGAAGAUGAAAUAAACUCUGUAAGUAUAGUUAGUUUGACAGCUGAAUUUUACCUAAAUCCUUGUAUAUCUUUCUGGCAGUGUGUCCACUGAGGUAAAGGCAAAGAUCUAUGUUACUGCCUUGCUGGGAUUGUUAUUGUUGAAAGUCGAAGGAGGUCUGGAAAAAAAUCCCAAGGUAUGAGUUGCCAAGUUUGAGGAGCUUCAUCAAAAGUUUAUGAAAGACAAACCAGAUCAUCCAGAGGGUCUAACAGGGUGCCACAAAGGUGAAGCUAUAAAAAAACUUAAGGUGGAGCUAUAAAAAAACUUCAAAUUGUGAAGGUAUUUCAAAUCGUUUCUCACGGGUCAAAAU